AGGAUUAAACUGAUUUGGUUGGAGAUGGCCUUCACACCCUUGAGAACGAGAAAGCCAACGCCAGCGGCUCAUGCCCAUUCAAGCGGGAGGCCUGGGCAAAAUGACCCGACUCAUGACCCAAACCCAUGUCUAGUCCGCGCCAAGCCCGCGCUGCUGUUGUAUAUGCCACCGUUUCGCUCUUUGGCAAUGGCAGGAAAAACCUCUGCUAUGCUUUGCUUCCGGUCACCCCACCAAUUCCAAUCAUCAAUUCUCAACUUUCUUCAACGUUUUUCAGAUUUGGAAUCGAACUCACGUUUGAUUUUCCAUUUUCUUCGAUCCCCACUUGAAAUUUUCAGCUAAACAUAGAUUUCUCCGACGAAUUUCAGAUAUCAGAGAGGGAGAGAUGGGGAUGAGAGUGAGAGCCCUGGGGGCACUGCCGAGCCUCAUUCGGAGCCUCCAGAAGGAAGCCCACCCGAAACCCGCAAACCCGCAAUCGCUGCCGUCGCUGAGACGCGCCUUCUCUCUCUACGAUCAGAUCAAUCUCAUCGACAACGUCCCCAGCGACCAGCUUCGGUUUCAACGGUACACGGACACAGGGUUCACAGUGAAUGGGGUGGACUUUGAAGGAAGCCUACUGUGUGUUGGAAACAUGUUGAUGUCUUGGGCUCCCAACAAGUUCUCUCAAAUCACUACUGAUAGCCUAUCCAUCUUUCGAACCGUGCGACCUGUACCAGAGAUUUUGAUAAUUGGCUGUGGAAGGUACAUUGAACCUGUAAGUCCUGAACUACAACGCUUCAUCCGGUCUACUGGAAUGAAACUAGAAGCCAUUGACACGCCGUACUGGUACUGUUAUUAGCAAGAGUAGCAGUGGAUCCUUAACCUUGUGUAUAGAAGAGAGCAAUUAAAUCAACCAAACUUGCAACAUUUCCGGAACGAGAAUGAACAAAAAUGAAAAAUGCUGUAUCGACCUACAACAUACUCAAUGAGGAAGGGAGGAUUGUGGCUGCUGCACUUUUACCAUACGGGAUUUCCUCAUGAUCUGCAGACCGACUGCAGGAUGCUGGCUUUCUGCAUAUUUUUCCUAACAGUCUCGACUACAAUAACUAGCUUCCUGGUCAUCAGCUUAUUAGUAUAAUGUCGACUACAAUAACUGCGGGAUUGUGGUUGCUGCACUUUUACCGUACGGGAACUGUUAUUAGCACUAAAAAAAUCUCAUUCUACGCUCUACAAGUGUAAUUUUCUUUCUAAUUAUAGAAAGUUUGGAGUGUAAAAUAAGAUUUUUGGAGUGUUAAUAACAAUUCACUUCAUAGAAAUGUAUACAUUGAGAGGAAAAAUGAGGACCACAAGUGCCAAUAACAACACAUUGUAUUCUAUAUAUAUUUUUUACACAUCAGACACAAUGUUGACAUUCAUGAUGUUAAGUGAGACAUUUUGAGUUUCAGGAGGCAAAUUAAGAAUGAAAUUGAGUUUCAGGGA